GACGAACGCUGGCGGCGUGCUUAACACAUGCAAGUCGAACGGAAAGGCCUCUUUCGGGGGGUACUCGAGUGGCGAACGGGCGAGUAACACGUAAGUAACCUACCCUUGUCUUUGGGUUAGCUUACGGAAACUGGGGCUAAUAACGGCUAGGAAAUCCUGUUGCACGGAUGGGGCUGGAGAGUUUCGGCGGUUUGGGAUGGAUUCUCGGCUUAUCCGCUUGUUGGUGGGGUAGUGGCUUACUAAGGCUUUGACGGGUAGCCGGCCUGAGAGGGUGACCGGCCACAUUGGGACUGAGAUACGGCCCAGACUCCUACGGUAGGCAGAAGUGGGGAAUAUUGCACAAUGGGCGGAAGCCUGUUGCAGCAACGCCGCGUGCGUGAUGACGGCCUUCGGGUUGUAAACCGCUUUCGCCUGUGACGAAGCGUGAGUGACGGUAAUGGGUAAAGAAGCACCGGCUAACUACGUG
rnacentral:rRNA from 1 species